GCUCUCUUUCCAACUCUCUUGGCAGAUGUGGCUCACUGUAGCAGAAUUCUUGGGAACAGUGUCUUCAGUUAUGCCAAGAAGAAUGGCAUUUCUCACAAGGAAGUGUGCCGCUGACUUAGAGCUGUCUGUUGCAAGGUUAUAGAGCUCUUCAAGGGAACAGAGUGUGUCCUGCUCAUCUUUACAUCCCAAGUACUUGACCCAAGGCCUUACACAUAAAGAACACUUGUUUCAUUUGGGACUUGGGUGAUGUCGGACUUCCCUUCGCCAUGCAAUCCGUCCCGGACAUCGAUGGGGCUGCCUUGGUGAAGAAUGGUUCACCCAUCCUUUCACCCAUCUCUCACAUCACUUUGAGACCUUAGAUGGUCUCUUGCUGGGUGCACAUUCAUUGUAUCAUCUAAAGAGGUAUGUCUGUUAGACAGUUGUAUUGUCCAACUUGGAUCCAAGCUUGGGUUUCAUUUUUUCCAUUAUCUCAUCAGGGUCUUGAUGAGGAGUUUCUUGAUGUGUCAGGUCUUGUUGGAGAUACAUAGAACUCUGAUCAGUUCAUCAACAGACACUUUUGGUUUUUUACUAAUCUAAAAAAGUUUUCAUAUGAUUUUUUUCUUAAAAAAAUAUUUGAUCUUAAAACAAUUUUACACACACACAGAAUUGCCCUUCCUACCUCAUCAUCUUAUAACAAUUUGCAUUUCUUAAUACCAUACUAACAAUUAACAUUUAUUGAGCACUUGCCGUGUCUAAAAUGCUGGGCUGAGCAUUUACAUGCCUCAUCUCAUUUAUUUUUCACAUCAACCCCAUGAAAUGGACACCUUGAAAACUAUCCUAUUUUAUUUAUGAGGAAAUAGGUUUAGAGAGAUUAAGUAUAAGCUUUUCCAAUUUUGAUCCCCAUGGAAAUUUAAUUUUAUAUGGUUUUUAAUCAUUGUGUGUUUAUAUAUUUUGCCCUACCCUCUUUUUUUCUACUUAAUAGUAUUUCCUAUAAAAGUUUCUGGUGAUUGGAGCUUCUGGAUUGGUGAAUACAUCAAGAUUCUGGGAGGGUGAUGUUCCAGGAGAGGGCAUGGGAGCUCCACGUUCCUCCUCCCAUACCUUGCCCUAUGCAUCUCUUCCACUGUUCCUGAGUUGUAUCCUUUAUAAUAAUAAUAGUCACAGUAAGUAAAGCACUUUCCUGAGUUCUUUGAGUCAUUCUAGUGAAUUAUCGAGUCUUGGAGAGGGGACUGUGGGAACCCCCAAAUUUGUAGCCAAGUCAGAUCCUGUCCACCCUGUUUGCAACUGGUGUCUGAAGUGAGGGCAGUCUUAUGGGACUGAGCCCUUAACCCUGUGGAGUCUGAUGCUAACUCUGGAUAGUUAGCGUCAGAAUGGAAUUGAAUUGUAGGAUGCCUAGUUGAUGUCAAAGAAUCAGAGAAUUGGCUGUUGUGUGGAAAGCCUCCACACAUUUGGUAUCAGAAGUAUUGUGAGUAAAAACAGCGCUUUUGGUGUUAGAAAAUGUGGGAUUGGCUAAAACAGCCCGUGCCCACUGAAACAUGUGGUUCAGGAAGAAAAAGAAUUAAAGGAUGCAGGAUGAGAAACCUUUGAUUCCUGGGUGGCCACGUGGCCACUCAUAGGGUGGUGCAGCAGCUGUGCUGCAAUAAGUUACUAAAGGUAAAAGUUACUAAGGGAAUGUAGAGUUGGAUCCACUUCCCAGGGAGUUGGUUCAUUGGAUGUAUAAGAAAUACAAGCAAAUAAGAAAAAAGCAAAAUAUACAGUCCGUUGGUUAUUGGUAUCUAUAAUAGCUAAAAUAAAUUAAAAGAGUGCUAGGUCAGAUCUUGAUGCUGAACCAAACUCAGAUUUCGAUCAGUCUGAGCUUCAGCCACUAACGUCAAAGCCACCUGCAAAAGGAAGGAUUAAGCAAGACAACAGAGAGUACCCCUAAUACCCCUGGUCACCAAGAAGAUGGUCCUCGCUGAGGGAGGGCAAAACCAAAAAACUAUUGAAAGCAGGAGGUACAGUGUGAAGGAGCUGUUGAAACCGGAAAACAAUCAUUGACGAUUAAGUAUCUAGGUAUUAAAGUUUUUCCCUUUUUGCAAUUACUGAUUAUAGCUUUUAGCUGUUUCACCCACCCAUUGUUAACUGUGCUGCUUAGGCAAUAUGCUAUCUGACUCCCACUAGGCUC